GACGAACGCUGGCGGCAUGCCUAAUACAUGCAAGUCGAACGCACGAAGUUGAAAAGCUUGCUUUUCGACCAAGUGAGUGGCGGACGGGUGAGUAACACGUGGGUAACCUGCCCAUAAGAGGGGGAUAACAUUCGGAAACGGAUGCUAAUACCGCAUAUUUCAAGUGACCGCACGGUCGCUUGAUGAACUGUGGCUUCGGCUACCACUUAUGGCAGGACUCGCCGUGCACUAGUUAGUUGCUGAGGUAAUGGCUCACCAAGACCAUGAUGCAUAGCCGACCUGAGAGGGUGAUCGGCCACACUGGGACUGAGACACGGCCCAGACUCCUACGGGAGGCAGCAGUAGGGAAUCUUCCGCAAUGGACGAAAGUCUGACGGAGCAAUGCCGCGUGGGUGAAGAAGGUUUUCGGAUCGUAAAACUCUGUUGUUAGAGAAGAACAAGGAUGAGAGUAACUGCUCAUCCCCUGACGGUAUCUAACCAGAAAGCCACGGCUAACUACGUGCCAGCAGCCGCCGUAA
rnacentral:rRNA from 1 species